rnacentral:rRNA from 1 species
UGGGGAAUAUUGCACAAUGGGCGCAAGCCUGAUGCAGCCAUGCCGCGUGUAUGAAGAAGGCCUUCGGGUUGUAAAGUACUUUCAGCGAGGAGGAAGGCGUUGUGGUUAAUAACCGCAACGAUUGACGUUACUCGCAGAAGAAGCACCGGCUAACUCCGUGCCAGCAGCCGCGGUAAUACGGAGGGUGCAAGCGUUAAUCGGAAUUACUGGGCGUAAAGCGCACGCAGGCGGUCUGUCAAGUCGGAUGUGAAAUCCCCGGGCUCAACCUGGGAACUGCAUCCGAAACUGGCAGGCUAGAGUCUUGUAGAGGGGGGUAGAAUUCCAGGUGUAGCGGUGAAAUGCGUAGAGAUCUGGAGGAAUACCGGUGGCGAAGGCGGCCCCCUGGACAAAGACUGACGCUCAGGUGCGAAAGCGUGGGUAGCAAACA